ACUGAACUUUGUAGGCCCAAACAGGCCUGAAAAUUAGCCCAAGAAGGGCUGCAGCAGUGAUCUAAGAGGCUGGUGCGGGGAGGGGGAGCCCUUGCAGACCCCCCCAUGGCCCUUAGGAAGCCCCCCAAAGGGGCUACAGAUAUUGCACUUGAGUCCCAAGAGCCAUUACAGAUUUCACUGUGGGCAAGAUCUGGAGGCAACGUGCUCGGUACGCCUUCUCUGAGGACCACCGUGUCCUAGACACAGAAGGCAGGAUCCUCUGAGUACAGGAAGAAAAAGGGGAAAUGUGAAGAAGAAGGAAAAGCCCCCCCCCACUUUACGCGGGAGGCUCAAGCGAUUGUCAACAGGAUCAUAAGCCAUGGAUAACUGCUUGCAAAGCUUCUGUUUAUGGAUGCCAUCCCCUGCGGGAACUUCUGUAUCGUUCACCUGCUGAGCUGUCUGGCAUGCAUUUCUUGAAGAGAUGUUUGUCCUGAGCAAUAAUGAAUGACUUAUCAAUGGAAAAUGAGCCUCGAUUUUUCUUGUCAGACAGCUACCUGCAGCAGUAGUGAAGUGGAGAUGUCGGGUAUAAAUAUUUUGAUGAAGAGCAGGAGGAGGAGGAAGAGGGAGCAAGAAGAAUGAAAAGGAAGAAGAAGGGAAAGAGGGCAGGAGGAUGAAGAAGAGGGAGGAAGAAGAAGAAGGGUGAAGGAGAAAGCGGGAGGAAGAAUGGUAGAAAGAGGAGGAUGAGGAUGAGGAUGAGGAUGAGGAAGAAGAAGAAGAAGAAGAAGAAGAAGAAGAAGAAGAAGAUUGCAACCCAUCCACCCUAUUGUAGCCCUGCUCCUCAUAGCAGACAGGCCUAUCAAGAGCUAUUAUCUAUGACAACUAUGUGGUGGAACAUCAAUUUUCAGAGGCAGCAUGCUGCAGAAAACCAGUUGUCUGGGGCCAACCACAGAAAAGGACUACUGGCCUCAUGCUGUGCUUGCAGGCUUUGCAGAAACCUUUUUGUCCAUCAAUGGAAGCAGAAUGCUAGAUUUCUUGAACUUGUAAUGCACCAAGCUAUUACAUCCCUCAGAUUCAAAUACAUGAUUUCAGGUCAACUUCACACUGCAAACAUUUUAAUAAAACUAUGGAAAACAAAGUCACAAUGAAAACACCUUUCCAAUUAAAAUCCAAAUGCCCGGAGUGAUUAAAAAAAAGUUUUCAUUUGUCUCCAAAAUGAGAGGA